rnacentral:tRNA from 3 species
CAGAUAGCUCAGUUGGUAGAGCAGAGGACUGAAAAUCCUCGUGUCGCUGGUUCGAUUCCGGCUCUG